AUACAGAGGAUCCGAGCGUUAUCCGGAUUUAUUGGGUUUAAAGGGUGCGCAGGCGGCCAUUUAAGUCAGCGGUUAAAUCGUGGGGCUCAACCCCAUUCUGCCGUUGAUACUGGGUGGCUUGAUUGCGGUCGAGGUUGGCGGAAUUCGUUGUGUAGCGGUGAAAUGCAUAGAUCUGACGAAGAACACCGAUUGCGUAGGCAGCUGACCAGACCGCAAAUGACGCUCAUGCACGAAAGUGCGGGGAUCGAACAGGAUUAGAUACCCUGGUAGUCCGCACAGUAAACGAUGAAUACUUGUUUUCGGCGAUAUAAUGUCGGAGGCAAAGCGAAAGCGAUAAGUAUUCCACCUGGGGAGUACGCCGGCAACGGUGAAACUCAAAGGAAUUGGCGGGG
rnacentral:rRNA from 1 species